rnacentral:rRNA from 1 species
UACGAAGGGGGCUAGCGUUGUUCGGAAUUACUGGGCGUAAAGGGCGCGUAGGCGGUGUGUCAAGUCAGGCGUGAAAGCCCCGGGCUCAACCUGGGAACCGCGCUUGAGACUGGCACGCUCGAGUUCGGGAGAGGAUGGUGGAAUUCCCAGUGUAGAGGUGAAAUUCGUAGAUAUUGGGAAGAACACCGAUGGCGAAGGCAGCUAUCUGGACCGACACUGACGCUGAGGCGCGAAAGCGUGGGGAGCAAACAGG